AACGAACGCUGGCGGCAUGCCUAACACAUGCAAGUCGAACGAGACCUUCGGGUCUAGUGGCGCACGGGUGCGUAACGCGUGGGAACCUGCCCUUAGGUUCGGAAUAACUCCCCGAAAGGGGUGCUAAUACCGGAUAAUGUCUUCGGACCAAAGAUUUAUCGCCUUUGGAUGGGCCCGCGUUGGAUUAACUAGUUGGUAGGGUAAAAGCCUACCAAGGCGACGAUCCAUAGCUGGUCUGAGAGGAUGAUCAGCCACACUGGGACUGAGACACGGCCCAGACUCCUACGGGAGGCAGCAGUGGGGAAUAUUGGACAAUGGGCGAAAGCCUGAUCCAGCAAUGCCGCGUGAGUGAUGAAGGCCUUAGGGUUGUAAAGCUCUUUUACCCGGGAUGAUAAUGACAGUACCGGGAGAAUAAGCGCCGGCUAACUCCGUG
rnacentral:rRNA from 1 species